GGCUUCUUGGUGUAAUGGUAACACAUUCCUCCCCAAGUGCUUUGGGUGGAAGACUGGUGGUUCGAUUCCCUCAGAGGCUA
rfam:Phialocephala scopiformis strain CBS 120377 unplaced genomic scaffold LY89scaffold_5, whole genome shotgun sequence.